AUGGCGGCGGAGACGUCCACUUCGGCGGCCGCCGGCUCGGGCGGCGGCAGCUGGGUGGAGUCGUACACGGGGAUGUCCACGGACAACAUCAAGGGGCUGGUGCUCGCGCUCUCCUCCAGCGUCUUCAUCGGCACCAGCUUCAUCGUCAAGAAGAAGGGGCUCAGGAAGGCUGGCGCGUCCGGCGUCCGCGCAGGGGUUGGUGGGUACUCUUAUUUGUAUGAACCAUUAUGGUGGGCAGGAAUGAUUACAAUGAUCGUUGGAGAAGUUGCUAACUUUGCAGCAUAUGCGUUUGCUCCUGCUAUACUUGUUACUCCACUUGGUGCACUUAGCAUAAUCAUUAGCGCCGUUCUUGCAGACAUUAUGUUAAAGGAGAAGCUACAUAUCUUUGGUAUACUUGGAUGUGUUCUUUGUGUCGUGGGUUCAACAACUAUUGUGCUUCAUGCCCCCCAGGAGCGUGAAAUUGAGUCUGUCGCAGAAGUGUGGGAUCUUGCUACAGAACCAGCAUUUAUAUUUUAUGCGAUAAUCGUGCUUGCUGCAACUUUCGUGCUCAUAUUCCGUUAUAUCCCACAAUAUGGUCAGACACAUAUCAUGGUUUAUAUUGGUGUUUGUUCACUUGUAGGAUCUCUAUCGGUCAUGAGCGUGAAAGCUCUUGGUAUAGCCUUGAAACUGACCUUUUCUGGGAUAAACCAGCUAAUCUAUCCGCAGACAUGGUUGUUCGCAAUUAUUGUUGUUGCAUGUAUAUUAACACAGAUGAACUAUCUGAACAAGGCUCUUGACACAUUCAAUACGGCAGUUGUUUCACCAAUAUACUAUACGAUGUUUACCUCACUAACAAUACUGGCUAGCGUCAUAAUGUUCAAGGACUGGGAUCGUCAAAAUCCAACUCAAAUUGUGACAGAGAUGUGUGGUUUUGUGACCAUCCUUUCUGGGACAUUUCUUCUUCAUAAGACUAAAGAUAUGGUUGAUGGCCUCCCACCGACUCUGCCUAUCAGGAUUCCGAAACAUGGUGAUGAAAACGGCUACGCGUCUGAAGGAAUUCCUCUUAGAUCCGCUGCUGAAGGCCUCCCUCUGAGGUCACCGAGGGCAGCAGAAUAA
rnacentral:rRNA from 1 species